rnacentral:lncRNA from 1 species
AUCCCAAAUGCCCAAUACCGUUGAUCUCUCGCCACAACACACACCAUGCUUUACCCCUUACCAAAAUUACCUUGGCACUUCCUUCGAAACGUUUCAUGUUCCACCAGCCAAAACAACCGCAUUCCCAGCUCCAGAUACCCAAUAUUGUGCCCCGGAACCCACUUUCAAUGUCCUGGAUCCUUAUUCCUACACUUCCCACCUUGAGCCUCAUGUUGAAACUGAGAAACCGCCCAAGAACGCAUCUGAGACUCUUCAUGUUCCACCAGCCAAAACAACCGCAUUCCCAACUCAAGAUACCCAAUAUUGUGCCCGAAACCCACUUUCAAUGUCCCGGAUCCUUAUUCUUAAACCUCCCACCUUGAGCCUCAUGUUGAAACUGAGAAACCGCCCAAGAAAGCGGAGCAGGAGGAGAUAUUUA